rnacentral:rRNA from 1 species
GACGAACGCUGGCGGCGUGCUUAACACAUGCAAGUCGAACGGGAACCUUUAUUUCGGUAAAGGUGAGAGUGGCAAACGGGUGAGUAACACGUAGGCAACCUGCCGACAGGAUGGGGACAACAUUCCGAAAGGAAUGCUAAUACCGAAUGGAGUCCGGGGAUGGCAUCAUCCCUGGAUAAAAGAUGGCCUCUGAAUAUGCUAUCGCCUGUCGAUGGGCCUGCGUCUGAUUAGCCAGUUGGCGGGGUAACGGCCCACCAAAGCGACGAUCAGUAGCCGGUCUGAGAGGAUGAACGGCCACAUUGGGACUGAGACACGGCCCAGACUCCUACGGGAGGCAGCAGUGGGGAAUCUUCCACAAACGGGGCGAAAGCCCUGAUGGGAGCAAACGCCCGCGUGAAGUGAAAGAAAGGGUCUUUCGGGA